rnacentral:rRNA from 1 species
UACGUAGGGACCGAGCGUUGUCCGGAAUCAUUGGGCGUAAAGAGCGUGUAGGCGGCCAGACAAGUCUGCUGUGAAAACUCGAGGCUCAACCUCGAGCUGUCGGUGGAAACUGUCUGGCUAGAGUCCGGAAGGGGAGAGUGGAAUUCCUGGUGUAGCGGUGAAAUGCGCAGAUAUCAGGAAGAACACCUAUGGCGAAGGCAGCUCUCUGGGACGGUACUGACGCUGAGACGCGAAAGCGUGGGGAGCGAACAGG